rnacentral:rRNA from 1 species
GAUGAACGCUAGCUACAGGCUUAACACAUGCAAGUCGAGGGGAAACGACAUCGAAAGCUUGCUUUUGAUGGGCGUCGACCGGCGCACGGGUGAGUAACGCGUAUCCAACCUGCCCACCACUUGGGGAUAACCUUGCGAAAGUAAGACUAAUACCCAAUGAUAUCUCUAGAAGACAUCUGAAAGAGAUUAAAGAUUUAUCGGUGAUGGAUGGGGAUGCGUCUGAUUAGCUUGUUGGCGGGGUAACGGCCCACCAAGGCAACGAUCAGUAGGGGUUCUGAGAGGAAGGUACCCCACAGUGGAACCGAGACCCGGUCCAAACUCCUACGGGAGGCAGCAGUGAGGAAUAUUGGUCAAUGGACGAGAGUCUGAACCAGCCAAGUAGCGUGCAGGAAGACGGCCCUAUGGGUUGUAAACUGCUUUUAUAAGGGAAUAAAGUGAGUCUCGUGAGACUUUUUGCAUGUACCUUAUGAAUAAGGACCGGCUAAUUCCGUG